UAAGGCCCUUCGGGGUACACGAGCGGCGAACGGGUGAGUAACACGUGGGUGAUCUGCCUUGCACUCUGGGAUAAGCCUGGGAAACUGGGUCUAAUACCGGAUAUGACCUUCGGUUGCAUGACCGGGGGUGGAAAGAUUUAUCGGUGCAAGAUGAGCCCGCGGCCUAUCAGCUUGUUGGUGGGGUAAUGGCCUACCAAGGCGACGACGGGUAGCCGGCCUGAGAGGGCGACCGGCCACACUGGGACUGAGACACGGCCCAGACUCCUACGGGAGGCAGCAGUGGGGAAUAUUGCACAAUGGGCGGAAGCCUGAUGCAGCGACGCCGCGUGAGGGAUGACGGCCUUCGGGUUGUAAACCUCUUUCGACUCCGACGAAGCGAGAGUGACGGUAGGAGUAUAAGAAGCACCGGCCAACUACGUGCCAGCAGCCGCGGUAAUACGUAGGGUGCGAGCGUUGUCCGGAAUUACUGGGCGUAAAGAGCUUGUAGGCGGCUUGUCGCGUCGAUCGUGAAAACUCGGGGCUCAACCCCGAGCUUGCGGUCGAUACGGGCAGGCUUGAGUACUUCAGGGGAGACUGGAAUUCCUGGUGUAGCGGUGAAAUGCGCAGAUAUCAGGAGGAACACCGGUGGCGAAGGCGGGUCUCUGGGAAGUAACUGACGCUGAGAAGCGAAAGCGUGGGUAGCGAACAGGAUUAGAUACCCUGGUAGUCCACGCCGUAAACGGUGGGUACUAGGUGUGGGUUUCCUUCCACGGGAUCCGUGCCGUAGCUAACGCAUUAAG
rnacentral:rRNA from 1 species